ACCCUCUCAGGAUCACUCCUGGGGAGUUUCUAGUACUCUACCAGUCUCGGCUUCCAGAGGGAGAGUCAAGCAGAGGCCUACCCAUUCCAUUCCUAGCUUGGGCAGUGGCUAGUGAGUGGAAGGCAAUCUCCUACAAGC